rnacentral:rRNA from 1 species
CUCCGCGUGCAGGAUGAAGGCCUUCGGGUCGUAAACUGCUUUUAUUGGUGAAGAAUAUGACGGUAACCAAUGAAUAAGGGUCGGCUAACUACGUGC